rnacentral:lncRNA from 10 species
AACAGCUCGGGCGGCGCAUGGAGAGUGCGGGCGGCUUCAAGCUGGGUAUGGAGCCCCUCAGCGGCGGCGGGGUCUAGUCUGACUCUGUCACCCAGGCUGGAGUGCAUUGGCAAGAUCCCAGCUCACUGCAACCUCUGCUUCUCAGGCUCAAGCCAUCCUCCCACUUCAGUCUCCCAAGUAGCCGGGACUAAAGGUGUGCACCACCAUGCACAGCUAAUCUUGGUAUUUUUUGUAGAGAUGGGGUUUCACCAUAUUUCACAGGCUGGUCUUAAACUCCUGAGCUCAAGUGAUCUGCCCACCUCGGCCUCCCAAUGUGCUGGGGAACUAUUUUCUGUUAUCUGUUCUGGACUCACACAUUCUGGAUGACUGGAAUUCUUUGGACCCAUAUGAGCCUCUGCAAAGACAUUGGUGAGAAAAAAAAAUUACUAAAAAUGACAAGUAGAAGACUUGAGGAGUCCAUGGGGGCUGUUCAGAUGGGAUUGGUCAAUAUGUUCAAAGGAUUUCAAAGCAAGGUUUUGCCACCCCUGAGUCCAAAGGUGG